rnacentral:rRNA from 1 species
GAUGAACGCUGGCGGCGCGCCUAAUACAUGCAAGUCGAGCGAACAGAUGAGGAGCUUGCUCCUCUGACGUUAGCGGCGGACGGGUGAGUAACACGCGGAUAACCUACCUAUAAGACUGGGAUAACUUCGGGAAACCGGAGCUAAUACCGGAUAAUAUAUUGAACCGCAUGGUUCAAUAGUGAAAGACGGUUUUGCUGUCACUUAUAGAUGGAUCCGCGCCGCAUUAGCUAGUUGGUAAGGUAACGGCUUACCAAGGCAACGAUGCGUAGCCGACCUGAGAGGGUGAUCGGCCACACUGGAACUGAGACACGGUCCAGACUCCUACGGGAGGCAGCAGUAGGGAAUCUUCCGCAAUGGGCGAAAGCCUGACGGAGCAACGCCGCGUGAGUGAUGAAGGUCUUCGGAUCGUAAAACUCUGUUAUUAGGGAAGAACAAAUGUGUAAGUAACUAUGCACGUCUUGACGGUACCUAAUCAGAAAGCCACGGCUAACUACGUG